rnacentral:rRNA from 1 species
GACGAACGCUGGCGGCGUGCUUAACACAUGCAAGUCGAACGAUGAACCCGGAGCUUGCUCCGGUGGAUUAGUGGCGAACGGGUGAGUAACACGUGAGUAACCUGCCCUUGACUCUGGGAUAACUGCGGGAAAAUGUAGCUAAUACCGGAUACGACCUUCGGCGGCAUCGCCAGGGGGGGGAAAGAAUUUCGGUCAAGGAUGGGCUCGCGGCCUACCAAGGCGACGACGGGUAGCCGGCCUGAGAGGGUGACCGGCCACACUGGGACUGAGACACGGCCCAGACUCCUACGGGAGGCAGCAGUAGGGAAUCUUCCGCAAUGGACGAAAGUCUGACGGAGCAACGCCGCGUGAGUGAUGAAGGUUUUCGGAUCGUAAAGCUCUGUUGCCAGGGAAGAACGUCUUGGAGAGUAACUGCUCCAAGAGUGACGGUACCUGAGAAGAAAGCCCCGGCUAAC